CCCUAUUCAGAGUGUCAUUUCCUCUCACCCAGGUGGCCCCUGUUCAUCUCCCAGGUGUGCCAGGUUGCCCUUGGCCCCCAGCCAGACAGUUGUUGGUAUUCACAGCCCCAGCAGCAACAGAGCUGUGGCGAAUUCUGAUCAGGGACCCCGCUUCUCACAACCACAGAAGCAAACCUUGCCUGGGCCCUGGAAUCUUGCCAACUUGGGCAAAUGUUUACGAAUCCUUCUCCAUGGAGCAGGAAUCCAGGCAAGGAAUCUGGCAAACAAAACAAACCAGUGAGCAUGAGGGAUGGGAGCAGACAGGGCAGCUGCCUUUGCUGCUUUUUCUUUCCUGAGACCUGCCCAUUUCCCCAAAAGUCUUCUGGGACCCUUAUCUGAGUUUUCUGCGCUCCCACUGCCUACUGCCCUUGGACCCAGCAUUUAGGGUGAGAUUUCUCUUGCACUAGUCUUCCUCAUCAUUACCGCCACCCUCAAGGACCCCCAUAGCAGAGUUCCGGACCACUGUCCCCAGGUCCAAGGUAGUAACCUUGCUAGGAAGGCAGUUGCAAGAUAGUUGGACUGCACGGAUCAAGUCUUUGCCUGAUGUCUUUGGUUUGAAGAGGCUAACCACAACCCUAAGACUGGACUGAUCUUGAGCCAGCAUUGUCCUUCCUUGCAUGACUAAGCCAUCUAUCAGAAUGUUUAUCACCAUUCUUUAUGGAGAUCAUGAAAAGAUCCUGUUUAAUUCUCACUGCAAAGUAGAGGUGCUGCUGAGCCAUAUCAAGCAGCGUUGUGGCUGUGAACCUGACGGAAUGGUUGAACUGGCAGACCACAGUGGUCAUUUGAAAAACCUUCUCCAAUACCCCCAACUCUAUGCUUCUGAGCUGCUGAAAUCUCGAGAAACUUAUAUUCCUAUCGCCAUAACACGAAAUGAAGGUUCACCAGAGCCAAUAUUUGUGCCACUAUUAAAGGAUCAUGAAAUUAUUGAUUCUAAGUUUUUAGCUACCCUGAACAUGGUAGGAGACUCCAUCUCCCCAGUGUCUGAGAAACAACCAAAAUCUGGGAAGACCAAGAGAAAAGCUUUGACUGCUGAGGGUCUGAGUCGAAAGGCAAACUGAGAUCCUUCCUGUAUGAGAUGAUCAGGCUUAAAGAAAUAGAGAUCCUUAAAGUGAACAAAAGCAAGAUUUGAUCUUUCUCACACUAUUCACAUCCAGAGAAAGAACUAUGGAAGCAGAAACCCAGAAGAAAAACAACUGCUUGAUCACAUGGGUCAAUGGGAAUGUAAUUGGGGAUGUAGACUAAAUGAUCACUCUAGUACAAUUAUCAAUCAUAUGGAAAUAGGUCUUGAUCAAUGACAGAUGUAAAACCCAGUGGAAUUGAGUGUUGGCUGGUGGGAGAGGGAUAGCAGGGGAGGGAAAAAACAUGAAUCAUGAAACCAUGGAAAAAUAUUCUAAAUCCAUUAAUUAAAUAAAAUUUUUCAAUUCUAAACA
rnacentral:lncRNA from 1 species